GCCCGAACAAUUGCUUGAUUGGGUUGUCUUUGCUUCUUUACUAUCCUUCAAAUUCACUUGAUUGUCACAGGUGAUUUUUGAUUAGGAAAAUUUCUAGAUGCAGAAGGCCUUGCUUCCUCGGUAUCUGGCACACCAAACGACAUGUGCCCUGAGCUCCUUGCCGGCAUACCCUAUGGCUAUAAAUCUGAUAUAUGGUCGCUUGGAUACUGUAUGUUUGACAUUGCUGCACAUCCACCCCCGUUUAAAGCUUCUGUAAGUUGAUUUUUCAGCUAUCUGAACUUCGUAAACAAUACCUCGAAAAGUUAUACUUGUUAC